UACGGAGGAUGCAAGCGUUAUCCGGAAUGAUUGGGCGUAAAGCGUCCGCAGGUGGCUAUGUAAGUCUGCUGUUAAAGAGUGAGGCUCAACCUCAUAAGAGCAGUGGAAACUACAUGGCUAGAGUGCGCUCGGGGCAGAGGGAAUUCCUGGUGUAGCGGUGAAAUGCGUAGAGAUCAGGAAGAACACCGGUGGCGAAAGCGCUCUGCUAGGCCGCAACUGACACUGAGGGACGAAAGCUAGGGGAGCGAAUGGG
rnacentral:rRNA from 1 species